GGCGCGGUGGCAGAGUGGUUAUGCAGCGGAUUGCAAAUCCGUGUACACCGGUUCGACUCCGGUCCGUGCCUCCA
rnacentral:tRNA from 1 species